CCAUAUGGUCGACCUGCAGGCGGCCGCGAAUUCACUAGUGAUUCGUAUUACCGCGGCUGCUGGCACAGAGUUAGCCGGAGCUUAUUCUCCCGGUACUGUCAUUAUCAUCCCGGGUAAAAGAGCUUUACGACCCUAAGGCCUUCAUCACUCACGCGGCAUUGCUGGAUCAGGCUUGCGCCCAUUGUCCAAUAUUCCCCACUGCUGCCUCCCGUAGGAGUCUGGGCCGUGUCUCAGUCCCAGUGUGGCUGAUCAUCCUCUCAGACCAGCUAAGGAUCGUCGGCUUGGUAGGCCUUUACCCCACCAACUACCUAAUCCUACGCGGGCUCAUCCCUGGCCGAUAAAUCUUUGGACUUACGUCGUCAUCCGGUAUUAGCAGUCAUUUCUAACUGUUAUUCCGAACCAAGGGGCAGAUUCCCACGCGUUACGCACCCGUGCGCCACUAAGGCCGAAGCCUUCGUUCGACUUGCAUGUGUUAGGCAUGCCGCCAGCGUUCGUUCUGAGCCAUGAUCAAACUCUAAUCGAAUUCCCGCGGCCGCC
rnacentral:rRNA from 1 species